ACUAGUGAGAAUCCAAUGAGAAAGCUACAGUCUGCAUCUGGAAGAGGACCCUCACUAGAACCUGAGCGGGCUGGAACCCUGAUGUUGGACAUCCAGCCUCCAAAACUGUGAGAAAUGUAUUUCUGUUGUUUUUAAGCCAUUUGGUCAAUAAUAUUUUUGUUACAGCAGUCCAAGUUGGCUAGGAUGCCUACCCUGAUGCAUAAAAACAGAUCUGCUGUAGCAAAACAGUAUUGUUCACCAUGCAGCACUCUUUCUUUCAGUCUCUUUCAUAGUAGAGUUAAGGUCAUGUGGCUAGUCUGGCCAAUGGGCUAUGAGCAAAAUUGGUAUGAAUUAUUCUUGGCCCAAGGUAGUUAGAAAAGGAUGUAAUUUCUUUAUGGUCUCUCAGACGUUUUCCAUUAUUUUCAUGGCUGGAAGUGAAGAGCACCACCAUUCCAGAGUUGCUGAAAUGAAGCAGCCAAGGCCCAGCUUAGAUGUCCCAAUUGAUGAUGGAUGAGAGUGUUAAACCUCCAUCCUGCACAGGAUGGAACACCAGGAGCCCCAAAUCUACGUUUUAAAGAAGCACUUACUGUAGCAGUCUGGAUAGGCUAGGAUACACAAUGGAAAACUAAAUCUCAAGACCUCAAAAUAACAAGAGUAAAUGCCGUUUUGUCAAUGAAAGAGGGAUGCUUGCGAUGAUGUGAAGGAUGUCUGAGAAGAGGUGUAUUUCUGAAGGAAAGAAAGAACACAGCAUACUCCUUGGAUAAAUCUCAUUUUCUUCCUUGUUAAGCCUUUUUUUCCCAUUGCAUUCUCUACAAACCCCUGGCCCACUCUUUCCUCCUCUUUCUACUUCCUUCCUUUCUCACCUGUACCCCAAACUAUAUUUGUAAACUCUUGCAGUGUUACUUUUGCACAGGGCUUGAAAUAUUUAACACCUUUGUUUUUAAUACAUGAGAAAAAUAAGAUCUAUAGGAAAGGAAACAACUUAACCAGUUUGAACAGGUAAUUGAUAGACUACAGUCCUCUCUCAAAUGUUUACUAAUGACACAUAUGCAUGGAGAUGGGAAUGUAUACAUACACACACACACAUACACACACACACAAACACACGUAUUGACUGGUUGAAACAUGACAGUUCUCCAGUACCUGGGAAUUAAAGGAGGGUGCAUUAGCCAUCCCUACCUUUACCUCAAUAUCCAUUUUAGGAAGGAUUAGAAAUUAAUUUACAUGAUUGAACAUACCAAGGGCUUUGAAAGCAGAAAAAUAUGAAAUUCAGAUUUUUCACUUCUUCAUCCUGGAGGUUCAGUUUUCCCAACACUAAAAUGAGGAUAGUAACACCAAACAUGGGAAUUGUUGAAGUGAUCAGUGAAAUAGAUGCUGUAUUAUAGGCCUAGCUCAGUUUAUGCUCUUAUCUUAAGAUUCUCUCUCUGGAAACCAAACCACCCCUGGAAUGGGCUCUGGUGGUCCUUACAUGAACAUAAGGCAUGCAUAACCCCUUUGAUAUUGUGAGUGUUUCUCUGCAUAUGAGCAUUCUUUUCUUCAGGGAAAAGUUCCUAACUUUUAUUAGAUUCUCAAAGUUGUCUGUAUUUCCUAUUAUUUUAAGAAAACUGACUUAAAUAGAAGGUGUAAUUGCGAAUGUUAACAAUAAUAAUUACAAACACCAUAACAUUACUAAUAUUUCACUACAAACAAAUAAUAAUAGUAUUAUUAUUAAUAUUCAAUUAUCUGAACAUGAGCCAAAAUUGGUGGAUGAAUCACAUUUAAAUCAUCGGGUGCUUUGCUUUCACCAGGUAAAAAGUUCCAAUUUCUUCUUAUUACAUUAAAUCUUAAGAACCUAUUUCACUCUUAUCCACAAAAAGGAACUCAUUUCCCCUAGAAAGGCAGGCUAAUGAGGUCUGCUUAAUUUAUAGCUGGGUCCAUUUAUGUGGUGGUUUCAUUAACAAAGACAUCUAUUUAAUUCAAUAGAUUCCUACACGUGGUACACAUAGAAGACACUACUACCCCCAUUCACUCCCCAUCCAUUCAUUACCCUAAUGCUUCUGACACACACAAACAAACCUUGUUUUACAAAUUGCUUAGAGAUUUGAUUAUUGCAUCAUGCAUUUUGUUGUAACAAGAAAGGUGAUUUAAAAUCAUUAGUCCUAAAAUUUAGUCCUGUGUGUGCUUUGAAGUCAAGGGGAACAAUUUGUCAGCUGGUUGAUCUUUUGCUUCUAAAGCUAGUUAACUGAUCAAUCUAAUGUCAAAGGAACAGAGAUAAAUGGGAGACAUUUUACUAUGUAGAAAACGGUACAUGAAGAUAAAUCCAACACUGUGCUUUAUUUCAUCUGCAGUUAUCUUUGUAGUAAUUGCUUUGGAAGACUCAAGGUGCUCUUUGCACAUAGGGAGUGUUAGAAGCCUUUAAAUCAUCUGCAUAGACUAGUAGCUUCUUGCUGCGAAUCUUGCUUUGCUCCAUUUUUGGGUAGAGAGGACAAUAAUCUCCUACUAUAAAUGCAAAUUUGGCAAGGACCAAAGGUUGGGAUUCUUGACUAGUUGUUUAUUGAACAAUCAAUUCAUACAUUUCUGAAAUUUCUUGACAUGCUUGCAAAGUAGAUCCAUUCCUUAUUGAAUUCAUUUGAUUUUCACUAUGACCAUAAUGAUUAAACUAGUUCUGGAGUAAACGUUUCCUAAUGAACAGAUUUGGAUGUACCAGCUGUUCCAGUUAUCUCUGUACAAAACAACCCCCCCAACUAUCUGGCUUAAAACAAAAGACAUAUAUUUCAUAAUUUUGUAAAUCAAAAAUUGAAAUUGAGUGACAACAGCAAAGGAAACUUAAAAAUAUUUAGCCAUCAAUGAACUGUAGGGUCCAAUAUACCUUCAUUUACAUGUCUGGUACCUUGGAUGCAGGGAAUGAUUGGAAGGCUUGUCUAGUAGACUCAGCUGUGACUGCCAAUCAGAGUACCUCCAUUUGGCUUCUCCAACAAGAAGUAUCAGAUAAACUUCUUACUUGACAUCUCAGGGCUCUCAGAGAGUUCUAAAAGGCCAUACUGGAAGCUGCAACAGUUCUUAUCAGAGUAUCAGUUGCUACUAGGUCAAUUUAUGGACAAAUCACUCAGGUCAUCUCAGACUCAAGGUAAGAGAAACUAGACUCUACCUCAUAGAGAAGAGAAAAACACGGUAUCCAUAUCCUUCUUUAAUCUACCACUCCAGAACAUUUUGAUUCUAUACAAGACCCAUUAUCAAAUCAUUCUGCUGCCAUCACCUCAAGGUUUUAUAUGUUUUAGAAUGUUCAGCAAGACAGAUCAUGGUCAGGGUAAAAGAGCAGUAAUUGGUUAAGUAGCUAUUAUUCUGACAAGCUACAAAAGGGACUUGCAUUUUCUUAACUCUCAGAAAUUUUUUGUAUUUUUAGUAGAGACGGGGUUUCACCGAGAAACAUCUUCUUACUGAAAGUUAUGUGAACACCCAUUAGAAACCAGGGAGAGAGAUUUCAUUUCUUCCAGAGUAGGUUCAAUGCCUAGUUUUACCCUAUCAGAAUUUUGUCCGGGGCACUUAUCCAGUGACAAUUUUUUUUUCAUAAGAGCUAUUUUUCGUAAGACUGCCCAAAAUCUUAGGAAUGAUCCAAUUUUCCAGUAAUGACUAAUAUAUUAAGAUGCAUAUGAAGGCUCCUCUUUCAUUAUGAUAGUCACCCUCUCACCAUUGCCUACCGAAUACUGUCUCAACUCAUCGAACUGCCUGACUUUUCACAACGAAGCCUUUAAAGUUUAUUCAAAACUUCUCUCCUCACAUUCACCCUGUCCACCAGCGAGACCACCCCUCCCAUUGUCUCCAGAAUAAAUAUGGUGUUCCCACCUCUGGGAAAGUUAACAAUGACAAUUAUAUCAAUUGCUAAUAUUUGUUGAACACUUACAUCACUUGUUUGCUCUUUAGGCUACGUUGAUUGAUGUGAAUUGCAAUGGACACUCCGAUGCCGUUGGGAAGCACUUCUUGUCUGUUGUACUCAACACAAAGAACUGUCCACUCUUGAUAUUUUUUUUGUAAAAGCCUGUAUCAUGUCUUCCCAGACAAAUGUUCCAGGAAAGUAUGAGAUUUUGUCUCGUACUACUUGUUUUCACACACAAUGUCUCACACAGAGCAGGCACUCCACAAAUAAAUUACUAGUCCAGCAACCCUUUAUUACACAACUGUUACAUACUCCAUGCAAACAAGGAAAGCAAGUUAGAACAAAUGAAACACAACUUCAGGAAUAGUUUGUUGUUCAUUUGAAUUUGCUGAUAUUUUUAUGUUUGACUUUAGAGGAAUUUGAAUGAUUUAGGUCGGAAUUGCAUUUCUACAGCUGGCUGGCAGGACAACUUUGAACAGUCUACAGAGCUCCUAUUUUCCUCUCUCUGAAGUGAGGGUAACAACUGGUAAAAGUGUUGUAUGUCUAAAAUCACAAAAGUGAUGUAAAGCUUUACUUUUCAAAUUUUCUUGUGCUUAAAAAUCAUCUGGAAUCUUGUAAAAAGGGCUGUGGUCUAAAAGAAAGAGCCUGAGAUUCUGCAUUUCAGACAAGCUCCCAGAGAAGGUAAAUGAUGGCCCAUCGGCUACAGCUUGAGUAGCAAUGCUAUAAAGCACCUAAUAUUAAUACUCACUCUGAAAUGUUGUCCUCCCCUUCCUCCCUCCAUCUUCCUAUUUGAAAAUUCCAGGAGACAGAAAUGGAUUUUUAUUUACUCCAAACGUCCAGUCUGAUGGUCUCUCAAUUGUGUUCCUCGUUUAAAAUAGUGCGGCUCCUGCACUUUGUUUAACUCUGCUUGACAAUCAGUGAUUUGUGAUUCUGCUCUUUCCUGAGCAUGUUUAUAAAAUGACGACCUUGGGAUUGGAGUCUCUGCUGCCCAAAUGCAGGGAGCAGACUUUCUAUGGAAGAAUUGUGAAAGGUCAUUUUACCACUGUUUUUUUCUUUCUUCUUGUCUUUCUUUUUGUUUUUUUGCCUUGGCUUCAUAUGCUAAUGGAAUCAACAUCCCCAUUUGCUAUUUUAAUGUUUCUUAGAAAGCUUUAUCUCAGAAUUUCCUAUGGUUUGUAUGUGCAUUAGUCUUCUAGGUGAAUCAGAGGUUUCCUGCUAUAACACCAUGAGGUUUCUCAAUAGACCCUCUUGGCUCCUUGUUGAGUCUUUUGAAUGACUUUAUUAUAAUAAAGUUGACUUGGAGCCAGAGGAGGCAGAGCUCCAGUGUUGGGCUUUCUGUAGAAUUUUAUGGGUUUUUCUCAGAAGUUUAAUGCCAGUUUAAUGGAGUUUUAUAACUAUUAAUACUCUACCACUCCAGCUGCGCUAAGAAAUAUGUAACUAAACAAUAACUUGAAAUAGGUAAAUUCAUGAUUAAGUUGCACUAAAAACUAAUGCCUCUUGGCCAUAGUUCAUAAUUUCCAAAGGCACAUCAUUUAGAAUGAUUGGUAACUUUAGCCUUGUAACUCUUUCAAGGAGAAAGGCUGUGAGCUUAAAUCACUACAUUAAGCUGACAGUGAGGCUCAUAUUUUCUGAGCUAAAGAUAUAUUUUUAUGGCCACACAGUGGACUCUGUUUAUCACUCAUCAUAAACCAUAGGAAACCAUUUUUGUUUUAAAUUAGGUGCUUAGGCUUUUGUCCUGUAAUCUGUUUCUUUAUUUCCCCUUUUCACUUUUGUUGGUCCAUUUUCAACAACUCCCAAUCGUCUUCCGUUUCCUGAAAACAGCUCAUAUUUUAUAUCUCAGCUUCUUUAAAGGUAUUUCAUCCUAGUUGAGGUCACCUUAAUUUACACCUCAAAUUACAGUUCCAGAGCCAACUUCUUUGCUGCUGAUAUUGAGUAGUAAUCCUACUAAAGAGUCCAAUUUUAAAAUGAGGAACAGUCUUAUCCUACAAUGCCAGGCAUAAGAAGCCCAUGAAUUUUGCAUAUAUCUUUAGUACUUUAAUUUAUUGAAUUACAUUUCUCCACUUCUUUGAGCCACUUAGUCAAUUACACUUCAUUCUGCUGCCUCGUCUGGUUCUAGAAGCUGUCUGUUCACAAAGACCAUAACUAAGUCAGUUUUUCCCAGACGAGGCAACAGCCGCAAAUCAUCUGAAAGUGAAAUGACUGUGGAAUUUGAGGUUUAAUUGUUUUUAAGCCAUCUUGAUUAUGUUUAUUAAAAUAGAAGGUCUUGUCAAGUUAGACCUCUCUCUAUUUCUGUCUGUCUUUCUCCUCACCUCCCUCACUGACUUUUCAGCUCACUGAGGCCCAUCCUUUUAUUGCCUGAUUUUAUACAGUUGGAUGAGAAACACAUACUGGGCAGUGGCCACAGCCCCAUCAACUGAAAGGAAUAUGAUGGGAUCAGAAGUCCUCUUAAUGAAAAACUGUAUCUUUAAUUCCUGUGGAAUUUUAAAACAUGUGCAGUGCAAUCUAUAAAUGGCCAAAUAAAAAAAGAGCAAAUAAACAUAAGAUGUUACUGUGAUCUGGUAUAAAGCCUAUAUGGCAUAGCUGAGUUUCUACCCUGCCCUAACUCCACUUAUCUUGAAGAAAAAGGAUGCCUGUGAUCAAAAUUUUUCUUUGCAAACCAGACUAGCUGAAUUUCUACCCUGCUCUGACUCCACUUAUCUUGAAGAGAAAGGAUGCCUGUGAUCAAAAGUUUCCUUUGUAACCAGACCAGUUGAAACUGGUUAAAACCAAGAUAGCAGACCAAACGAUGUCAAAAGACUUUAGGCUUCAUUACGAUCUCAUUUCCAUGCUAAAUGACACUUCCAACAGUGCCAUGACAGUUGAUAUGUGCCAUGACAGCAACCAGAAUAAGCCAGAAAAGGACAAAAAGGAAGGCAGCACUCUGGUUCCAGGAAGUUCAUCACCUGUAUUAGUCUGUUUUCAUGCUGCUGAUAAAGACACACCAGAGACUGGGUAAUUUAUAAAGUAAAAGAGGUUUAAUGAACUUACAGUUCCAUGUGGCUGAGAAGGCUUCACAAUCAUGGUGGAGGGCGAGGGCGAAAGGCACUUCUUACAUGACAGCAGCUAGAUGGAGUUAAAGAGCCAAACAAAAGGGCUUUACCUUUAUAAACCCAUUACAGACUUAAUCACUACCAUGAGAACAGCAUGGGGAAAACUGCUCCCAUGAUUCAAUUAUCUCCCACUGGGUCCCUCCCACAACACGUGGGAAUUAUGGGAGCUACAAUUCAAGAUGAGAUUUGGGUGGGGACACAGCCAAACAAUAUCACCACCCAUUUCUGGAAAAAGACAUAGACAUUCUUCCUCUCAUGUUUAAUGUCCAACACCUUCAUCAGAAAACCCUAUAUUUUAACCCAUUCACUCCUCACUAGUCCAGGAGGAGUCAUGCUCCUGUUUCUCAGUUCCAUGGUGAUUGAGUAAAGCCUGCACUGCUUGACACUCACUUUCAGUUUUGUAUAUUGGCUUUCUGACACCAAACAGAGAGACCCCAUCCUUGGGGAGACCAGCUUUGUGGGUAACAGUUUAUCAUGUUUACAGUGAUUUUUUUUUUCGUAAUUUCUAGAACUGUUAAAAGAAAGCUUUAACACAAUAUCUUCUUACACAAUUGAAUAAGGAAAGUGGGCCUGCUCCUGAGCAUUGUAGGAGGUAAAACUCUAUGUUUUGCUCCUGAUUACUUUGGAGCUUUUUCUCACUCAGCUCUGUCUGCCUUUCUAUUGCCUUUAUUUGUUUACAUGCCUAACUUUAUCUUUCCA
rnacentral:lncRNA from 1 species